ACUCCUACGGGAGGCAGCAGUGGGUAUUUUUCGGCAAGGGGGGAAACCCUGACCGAGCACCGCCGCGUGAAGGAAGAAGUCAUUCGUUAUGUAAACUUCUGUCAUAGUGGAAGAACGGUGGACUUGGGAAGAUAUCCAAGGACGG
rnacentral:rRNA from 1 species